rnacentral:lncRNA from 1 species
CAAAUUCAGCCUUCUGGAUACUUAUUCCCUUUCUUCAUUUUGCAGAUGUGAUUAUUCCUUCUACAGUCUAUUAGUAGUUUAAAUAGAAAAUUUCCAGAGAAAUAUGUGGGUCUAAUUGAAGAGAAGAGCAAAAGAAAUAAUCAACAUCCUAGAGAAAUGUGGGUUCUGAGGAAAGAAAUGGAUGGGUCAGAAGACUGUUGAAUUAUCUGCUCUGAUAGUAAUAUCAAUGUUAUCUUUGACUGAAGGAAGCUUUAGACUUAUUUUUCAUCUGCUGAACAUCCUGCUUGACAGUUGAAUGACUUUACUCCACGUAACACAAAUCAUGUUGCAGCUUGCCAACAGGAAUAUGAACAGCAACAGGUGAAUUUCUGACAAGAAGUUCCUGAAAAAGUAUGAAAUAAUUACUUCUUAUUUUGGCAUGUUUAUGGAACAGUUAAUACUUGGUGCUGCCUGUUUUAUGUAAAACCCAUACCAUUGUCUAGCUGUGGAUCAUAGGCACAGUUUAAUUCCCACCUCUUUGAGGCUGUGGAGUAAUUGCAUCAGCUCAUCGGUAACAUGAUUUUUUAUUUGCUGGGUACAGCAAAUAGAAAAUAGAUAUGAAACACAUUCCUUUGUGUAAGUGUAGUUUGCAUGCACACCUGCAAAUUGAUGAUGCUCACCUGAUUUACACCUCCCUCAUGAAAGCUGCAGCUUCUAUGGCACUUUGUUUCCUUGCACAGGAGUGCAAACUGAAGCUGUCUGUAUCUCUCCUUCAGAACGUUCUCCUCAAAGACUCAUGCUGUGGAUACGCAGGGACAAAUGGCUGGUAUGAAGGGGUCCUUUCAGAGAGCUGA